CAGUUCAUAUUUUGAGAUUAUUAUUUGUCUUUAUAAAGACAGCUGCAAUGUAUUUAUUAUGGCUACUCCUAUAAAGAAACGUUCCAAAUUAAGUGUAUUGGAUAAGGAAAGAAUUAUGAGGAUUUUUAAAGCUCAUAAAAAAGAACAUCCAUUUGCCUCAACUGUGAAUAGUGUGCAAUUCACUAUGAACGUAGCAGAAGUCAGUGAACGAACUGUAUACAAGAUUUUAAAGGAAUUUAAGGACAAUGAAGUAUUUUCUCCACCGAAAAAGUACCAUCGAAGGAGAAGUAUUUUAGAUUUCAUUAUUUAUUUCUUUUUAAUAUAUGAAUUUUACACUAAAA